rnacentral:misc_RNA from 1 species
GAUGAAGAACGUAGCGAAAUGCGAUACGUAAUGUGAAUUGCAGAAUUCAGUGAAUCAUCGAAUCUUUGAACGCACAUUGCGCCCCCUGGCAUUCCGGGGGGCAUGCCUGUCCGAGCGUCAUUUCUGCCCUCAAGCACGGCUUGUGUGUUGGGUGCGGUCCCCCCGGGGACCUGCCCGAAAGGCAGCGGCGACGUCCGUCUGGUCCUCGAGCGUAUGGGGCUCUGUCACUCGCUCGGGAAGGACCUGCGGGGGUUGGUCACCACUAUAUUUUACCACGGUUGACCUCGGAUCAGGUAGGAGUUACCCGCUGAACUUAAGCAUAUCAAUAAGCGGAGGA